CUACGGGACGCUGCAGUGGGGAAUCUUGCACAAUGGAGGAAACUCUGAUGCAGCGAUGCCGCGUGAGUGAAGAAGGCCCUUGGGUUGUAAAGCUCUUUUGUCGGGAAAGAUAAUGACUGUACCCGAAGAAUAAGGUCCGGCUAACUUCGUGCCAGCAGCCGCGGUAAUACGAAGGGACCUAGCGUAAUUCGGAAUUACUGGGCGUAAAGCGCGCGUAGGCGGUUAAGUAAGUUAAGUGUGACAGCCCAAAGCUCAACUUUGGAAUUGCAAUUAAAACUACUUAGCUAGAGUUUAUCAGAGGAAAGCGGAAUACCUAGUGUAGAGGUGAAAUUCGUAGAUAUUAUGUAGCACACCAGUUGCGAAGGCGGCUUUCUGGGAUAACACUGACGCUGAGGUGCGAAAGUAUGGGUAGCGAAGAGGAUUAGAUACCCGGGUAGUC
rnacentral:rRNA from 1 species